ACGUUGGAUACUGGAGCGGGGAAGGAUUUCGUGCCAACGGCACUCGUACACGAGUUGUUCGGAUACUGAGCACAACGUUACACCGUUUUGUUAGGAAAGUGAAGGUGCGUCGGCGGCGUGCGUUUUUUUUUUGCUUUUUUUUUUUUUUUUAAAAAAAAAAAAAAAAAAGGCGCCCCCCCCUGGGCCUUUUUGAAAAGGGGGAAAA
rnacentral:rRNA from 1 species